ensembl:lincRNA linc-46 ncRNA
CCAUGUGUUAGGGCCCCCUUAUUGAUUUUUAUUCAAUUUUAUUAGAUUUUACUAGAAUUUUAAAGGAACAGUACAAUCAACUCGCAAACAUGAUUCAAUUCAUAUUUUGACGCCAAAACCAAUGCCAAUUGGAUUUUAUGCCAUGUAGAAGACAAGUACAUAGUCAACGACGAAGAUCAUGUGAAGAUCAUCAAAACGUCCGGAAUCAGAGAAUUUUCUCUCAAAAAGUGGAUGGAAAUGACAUUUGACUAUUUAAUACAGAUUUGAUUGUGCAUUAUUGAUAUUUGAUUAAGAACAAAAGUUGGUAACUUUGAAAUUUUUCACGCACGUAGUGCUAAAAUGUCCUAUUUCGUUGUGAUCUACAAAAAAUGCGGGAAUUUAGAUGCAGACUUUUCUACUGAUUUUGCAUGGUUAAGAAUGUGCUGACGUCCCAUUUUUGGAGGAAAAAUUCCCGCAUUUUUUGUAGGUCAAACCGAUAUGGGACAACCUGAUACCACGUGUUCUCGAGUACAUACAGGUUAGUGAGAGUCAACGAGUGUUGCAAACAUAUAGCUUCCUCAAAGUUUUCUUUUUAAAAUCAAUUUAUCUUUUUUUUUUAAUCAGAAACUGCAAAAAUACAUUUUUUUCACAC